GACGAACGCUGGCGGCGUGCUUAACACAUGCAAGUCGAACGGAAAGGCCCUGCUCUUGUGGGGUGCUCGAGUGGCGAACGGGUGAGUAAAACGUGAGUAUCCUGCCCUUGACUUUGGGAUAACUUCAGGAAACUGGGGCUAAUACCGGAUAGGAGCUUCUGCUGCACGGUGGGGGUUGGAAAGUUUCGGCGGUUGGGGAUGGACUCGCGGCAUAUCGGCUUGUUGGUGGGGUAGUGGCUUACCAGGGCUUUGACGGGUAGCCGGCCUGAGAGGGGAGACAGCCACAUGGGGACUGAGGGACGGCCCAGACGCCUACGGUAGGCAGCGGUCGGAAAUAUUGCACAAUGGGCGGAAGCCUGAUGCAGCAACGCCGCGUGCGGGAUGACGGCCUUCGGGUUGUAAACCGCUGUCGCCUGUGACGAAGCGUGAGUGACGGUAAUGGGUAAAGAAGCACCGGCUAACUACGUG
rnacentral:rRNA from 1 species